AUACAGAGGGUGCGAGCGUUAAUCGGAAUUACUGGGCGUAAAGCGCGCGUAGGCGGCUUAUUAAGUCAGAUGUGAAAUCCCCGGGCUCAACCUGGGAACUGCAUCUGAUACUGGUAAGCUAGAGUUUUGGAGAGGGAAGUAGAAUUUCAGGUGUAGCGGUGAAAUGCAUAGAUAUCUGAAGGAAUACCAGUGGCGAAGGCGGCUUCCUGGCCUAAAACUGACGCUGAGGUGCGAAAGCGUGGGUAGCAAACGGGAUUAGAAACCCCAGUAGUCC
rnacentral:rRNA from 1 species